UCACGGUUUGCACCGGCAGUCUUGUUAGAGUUCCCGACAUUACUCGCUGGCAACUAACAACAGGGGUUGCGCUCGUUAUAGGACUUAACCUGACACCUCACGGCACGAGCUGACGACAACCAUGCAGCACCUUGUGACCUGCCCGAAGGAAAAACCGUUUCCGGUCUUGUCAGGCCACAUUUAAGCCCUGGUAAGGUUCCUCGCGUAUCAUCGAAUUAAACCACAUGCUCCACCGCUUGUGCGGGCCCCCGUCAAUUCCUUUGAGUUUCAAACUUGCGUUCGUACUCCCCAGGUGGGAUACUUAUCACUUUCGCUUAGCCACUCAGCAUUGCUGCCGAACAGCUAGUAUCCAUCGUUUACGGCGUGGACUAC
rnacentral:misc_RNA from 1 species